UAACAUGCAGAGAUAUGAGAGGAGGAAGAGGCUGAAGGAGGAGCAACACUGUCACAGAGCAGAGCAGAAAAGGACUCCCACUGUCAGAUACAUUCAAUAUCUGAAGCAUACAGAACAGAUAGUGUGUGGAAGAUGCUGUCACUGCAUUACUGGCUCAUGUUUCCUUUGUUUCUGAUCACACUAACAGGUGUCAGCUGUGAUCAGCUCACUGCAGUCAAGGAUGAAGAGUCCACUUUAGAAGGAAACACUCUCACUCUGUCCUACACUUACUCCCAAGAUGCAGAUCUCAAUGAUCAUUUCUUCUGGUAUCGACAAUAUCCAGGGAAACCGCCAGAGUUCCUGAUCCACAUAUCAGGGAUGAAUAUUUCUAGACCGUCAGAGUUUCUGAAAUCAGCUGCAAGAUUCUCCACAAAACUGUCUGGAAAAAACCGUCUGGACCUUCAGAUCUCCUCUGCUGCAGUGACAGACUCUGCUGUGUACUACUGUGCUGUACACAGAGACGAUGAUGAGCUUGCUGCAUGUGUGGAUCCUGACACAGAGUCUGUGGGAGCCUUUAAAGGUGAAGGCCGGACCCUGAGCAGCUAA